GGAAUAUUGGACAAUGGGCGCAAGCCUGAUCCAGCAAUGCCGCGUGUGUGAAGAAGGCCUGCGGGUUGUAAAGCACUUUCAGUGGGGAAGAACGCCUGGGGGUUAAUACCCUCGGGGGUUGACGUUACCCACAGAAUAAGCACCGGCUAACUCCGUACCAGCAGCCGCGGUAAUACGAGAGGGUGCAAGCGUUAAUCGGAAUCACUGGGCGUAAAGCGCACGUAGGCGACAACGUAAGUCAGAUGUGAAACCCCCAGGCUCAACCCGGGUACGGCAUUUGAGACUGCGUCGCUCGAGUCUGAGAGAGGGGGGUGGAAUUCCGGGUGUAGCGGUGAAGUGCGUAGAGAUCCGGAGGAACACCAGUGGCGAAGGCGGCCCCCCGGCUCAAGACUGACGCUGAGGUGCGAAAGCGUGGGGAGCAAACAGUAUUAGAUACCCUGGUACUCCACGCCGUAAACGAUAUCGACUAGCCGUGGGGUCCAUUUAAGGGCUUCGUGGCGCAGCUAACGCGAUAAGUCGACC
rnacentral:rRNA from 1 species